rnacentral:pre_miRNA from 1 species
CGUUUCCUCUUUUCAGCCCACGGGUGGGUUUGUGGGCCAAAGAGAAGAAACGAU